AUUGAACGCUGGCGGCAUGCCUUACACAUGCAAGUCGAACGGUAACAGGUCUUCGGAUGCUGACGAGUGGCGAACGGGUGAGUAAUACAUCGGAACGUGCCCGAUCGUGGGGGAUAACGAAGCGAAAGCUUUGCUAAUACCGCCUAAGAUCUAAGGAUGAAAGCAGGGGACAGCAAGGCCUUGCGCGAACGGAGCGGCCGAUGGCAGAUUAGGUAGUUGGUGGGAUAAAAGCUUACCAAGCCGACGAUCUGUAGCUGGUCUGAGAGGACGACCAGCCACACUGGGACUGAGACACGGCCCAGACUCCUACGGGAGGCAGCAGUGGGGAAUUUUGGACAAUGGGCGAAAGCCUGAUCCAGCCAUGCCGCGUGCAGGAUGAAGGCCUUCGGGUUGUAAACUGCUUUUGUACGGAACGAAAAGACUCUUUCUAAUAAAGAGGGUCCAUGACGGUACCGUAAGAAUAAGCACCGGCUAACUACGUGCCAGCCGCCGCCGUAA
rnacentral:rRNA from 1 species